CGGCAUGACAUGGUGCAGCACAGCAUGGCAUGGUGCAGCACGGCCUGGCACGGUGCAGAAUGGCACAGUGCAGCGUGGCACAGCGCGGCGUGGCACUGCACGGCCCAGCUCCCCCUCGCUGGCGGGGGCUCCCAGCGGCUCCCCGCUGCAGCCUGCCCUUCCCGCAGGACAUCCCUGCCUGCUGCCACCGCUGCUGCCGCCGGGAGCCUGCCGCCACCGCUGCCCGGCGGCCCUGGCCGAGUCGGCGGCACCCGCACCCGAGACCUGCCCUGCACCGGCACCCGGACCCGCCGCCGGGUUGCACGGGGUGCGCGGGUCCCGCCGCGGUGCACGGGGGUCCCGAACGUGCGCACGCUUGUGCACGGCCCCCACCGCCCCACUGCCGGCGCCGGUGCAAGCAGCGCGUGGCGGCUCCGGGGCACCUGGGGGGGGGGCACCGGGGGGGGGCGGCGCGGGCUCCCCCUCGCCCGGCGCCCCUCGGAUUCGGCGAGAGGUCAGCGCAGCGCCCGAGUGCUUCGCCGCCUCCUGCUCCCGUUGCAGCCUCCCUUCUCCUUCCAUUUUCCUCCCUGACCUCCCCCCCCCCGUCCCCCCCUCCCCCGCUGUGAUUUUUGGAGGCUUUUUAGUGCUGGGAAGACAAAAAAAGCAGCAACAAAAAUCCUUUCAGGCUCCGCUUUGCUUUGCGGGGGGGGGGACUCUGCCGAGGUCCUUCCCCUCCGCUCGCUCGGGGCAGCCAGUCAAUUUAACCCUUUGGGGACAUUGCGUUAAAAAAAUUUUAACAAUAUUUAUUAAAAUACAAAAAUACACUUGUUUUUUCAGAGUACAGUCAGAUUGUUCUGGAGUUUAUAUAUAGAGAUAUAGAUAUAUAUAUAUAACUUUGCUUUUCCUUCCCUCCUUCCCCCCCCCCGUCUUUUUUUCGGUUUUUUUUGCUUUUUGUUUUUUUAGAUCUGACACCCUCGAAUAAUUUCUUUAAAGCUAAAAUAAGAAAUGAAAGUAGUUGCGGGGUGGGGGCGGCCCCCGCGCGGAGCCCUGCGCCCGCUGUCCGGCCGCGCAAGACGCCCCCGCGCGCGCGAUCCGGCUGCGCCCCCCCUGCCCCCCCCCAAAAUCCACGGCGAGGCGCCCAUCCCGCCCGGCGUUUCCCNNNNNN
rnacentral:lncRNA from 1 species